rnacentral:rRNA from 1 species
UACGAAGGGGGCUAGCGUUGCUCGGAAUUACUGGGCGUAAAGGGCGCGUAGGCGGAUAUCUAAGUUGGGGGUGAAAUCCCGGGGCUCAACCUCGGAAUUGCCUUCAAAACUGGAUAUCUUGAGUUCGGGAGAGGUGAGUGGAACUCCGAGUGUAGAGGUGAAAUUCGUAGAGAUGUGGAGGAACACCGAUGACGAAGGCAGCCUCCUGGGCCAGCACUGACGCUCAUGCACGAAAGCGUGGGGAGCAAACAGG